UCGCAACUACUCCGCCACGGGUGCAGGCGUGCAGCGAUGGUCAGACUCGCGGGUCAAGCCUCCGUCUCCGGCGCCGCCAUGGACGGGGAGCGAGAGCAGCGAGGGCCGGAGUGGCAGCCCGGCAAGAACAUAAUCAAGAUCCCUUCCUAUCAGGAGGUCUUCAGCAUUGGUCCCUCGUCCGCGUCCUCGCCGCCCUCCUACAACCCUCCUCUCGCCAGCUCCGGCGCCGCCGCCGCUUCCUCCUCCUCCUCGUCGGGGUCGUUCUCGCAGGCUUUCUCCUUCCUCAAGUCAUCCGAGUUCUACUCCCCUCCGCCGCCGCCUCCCCAGCCUACCACAGCACAAAGGCCGCCUCAAGCUAGUCCCUCCGUGCCGGUACCGCAGAGCAAGAACGCCAUUCUCGUCAGCCAUAGGCAGAAAGGGAAUCCUCUGCUGAAGCAUAUCAGGAAUGCCCGGUGGACCUUUGCCGACAUCGUGCCAGACUACGUGCUAAGGCAAUCGUCAUGUGCCCUGUACAUAAGUAUCAGGUACCAUCUUCUACACCCAGACUACUUGUAUUAUCGGAUAAGAGAGCUGCAGAAGAAUUUCAGGCUCCAUGUCAUCUUGUGCCAUAUUGAUGUUGAAGAUGUAGUCAAGCCUUUACAUGAAAUUACAAGGACGGCUCUGCUUCACGACUGCACCCUCCUGUGUGGUUGGAGCAUGGAGGAAUGUGGUCGGUACUUGGAGACUAUCAAAGUGUACGAAAACAAGCCAGCUGACAGUAUUUGCGAGCACAUGGAUAAUGACUAUUUAUCACUGGUAUACAUUCUUUAUAGGCACCCUUGCAAGAAUAGAAUUCUUCGAUGUACUAUGUCAUUGGACAAAUUUAACUACAUAGAGUAAUCAUGGUUUACAAGAAAAAAAAUUCCCCUCAGCUUUCUCAAUGUGUUUAUUUUCAUUAGCGAGUUUCUAACAUUGCAAGUGGUUUCAAUAUAGAAGCUUUCUCACUACUGUCCCUUGAGGCAGAUUCCAAUGAAUCUUAUUAACCAUUAGAAUUUCAGUCGCCUUCAUAUGCUACGACCUAAAUUAUUUGUAUGCAUGCUUUUCGAUAUUGAUUAGAAUGGCUGAGAGAGAAGAAUUUAAGACAGCCUUUCAAACUCACCAUGGCCAUUAUGAGUACAAGGUGAUGCUUAUGGACUUACAGGUGCCCCUGCCACGUUUCAAGGAGUGAUGAAUAUGGUGUUGACUCCUUUACUCAGAAAGUGUGUAGUUGUUUUCAUUGAUGACAUUUUGGUCUAUAGCAAGAACCUGGAUGAGCAUGUACAACACCUUCAGCAAGUGUUUAGCCUCCUAGCAGAAAAUCACUUGAAGGUGAAGAUGUCCAAAUGUUCUUUUGCUCAAAACAAGUUAUCUUAUCUGGGACACAUAAUCAGUGUUGACGGAGUGGCUACUGACCUAGAAAAGAUCAAAGUCAUUUAGAAUUGGCCUCAACCCAUGAGUGUCAAAGAAGUCAGGAGCUUCUUAGGGAUGGCUAGAUACUAUAGGAAGUUUAUGAGGAAUUUUGGUAUGAUCAACAAAUCACUCACCAGCCUCUUAAAAAAGGGAGAACUCUUUGUUUGGACGACAACCACUGAAGAAGCCUUUCAGACAUUGAAGCAGGCAUUAGUUUGUGCACAUGUGUUGGCAAUGCCAAAUCAGAAGCCAUUUGCUAUUGAAACAGAUGCCUCAAAGAAAGGUGUGGGAGCAGUGUUGCAACAAGAACAACACCCCAUUGCUUUUGUCAGCAAAGCUUUGGGUCCCAAAACUCAAGGAUUAUCAGUAUAUGAGAAAGAAUACUUGGCUAUUAUAAUGGCAGUGGAGCAUUAGAGAUCUUACACACAACAAGCGGAAUUUUUGAUCAAAACAGACCAAAGAAGCAUGGUACAUCUAUAAGAACAAAGGCUAUCCACAUCAUGACAACACAAGGCACUCACCAACCUUUUGGGACUUCAGUAUAAGAUUGCUUAUAAGAAGGGGGUAGAGAAUAGAGUGGCUGAUGCCUUAUCAAGGGUUCCUCAUGUUGAUCAAGCUAAUCUAUUAGCCUUGUCUGUGGCUCAACCAAUUUAGCUAGAAGAUAUAGUGUUGGGUAUCAACAGUUGGAAGAAACCAAAAGAUUGAUGACUGAUUUAAUAGUAAAAGGGACCAUAGGGUUAUUUACUCUGGAAAAUGGUAUUAUGAGAUACAAGGAUAAAAUUUGGGAGGGCCCAAAUGCAGAAGUGCAGAAAAGAAUAUUACAAGCUUUGCACACCAGUGCAGUGGAGGGGCAUUCAGGAUUUGAUGUUACUUAUAGAAGAAUCAAAAACUUAAUUGCUUGGCCUAAGUUGAAAGAAGCAGUCAAGAACUUUGUGGCACAAUGUCACGUAUGCCAACAAGCAAAAGUUGAGAGAGUGGUUUAUCCUAGACCGUUGGCUCCUCUUCCAGUCCCUGAUGGUGCAUGGCAAGUAAUCACAAUAGACUUCAUAGGAGGUACCAGAAGCUAUACUAGAUAGAAGAUUGCACCGUUGUCCAACUGGAGCUGUGCAACAAGUGCUAGUACAGUGGUCUGGCUGGCCACCAUCCUUGGUGACCUGGGAAG